AGCUCGUAGUUGAACCUUGGGCCUGGCUGGCCGGUCCGCCUCACCGCGUGUACUGGUCCGGCCGGGCCUUUCCCUCUGUGGAACCCCAUGCCCUUCACUGGGUGUGGCGGGGAAACAGGACUUUUACUGUGAAAAAAUUAGAGUGCUCCAGGCAGGCCUAUGCUCGAAUACAUUAGCAUGGAAUAAUAGAAUAGGACGUGUGGUUCUAUUUUGUUGGUUUCUAGGACCGCCGUAAUGAUUAAUAGGGACAGUCGGGGGCAUCAGUAUUCAAUUGUCAGAGGUGAAAUUCUUGGAUUUAUUGAAGACUAACUACUGCGAAAGCAUUUGCCAAGGAUGUUUUCAUUAAUCAGGAACGAAAGUUAGGGGAUCGAAGACGAUCAGAUACCGUCGUAGUCUUAACCAUAAACUAUGCCGACUAGGGAUCGGACGGUGUUAUUUUUUGACCCGUUCGGCACCUU
rnacentral:rRNA from 1 species